AAGUCGUAACAAGGUUUCCGUAGGUGAACCUGCGGAAGGAUCAUUACAGAGUGCGAGGCUCAGUCGUGGCAUCUGCUGCGUGCUGGGCCGACCCUCCCACCCGUGUCGAUUUGUAUCUUGUUGCUUUGGCGGGCCGGGCCGCGUCGUCGCUGCCUACAUGGACAUGCGUCGGCCGCCCACCGGUUUUCAACUGGAGCGCGCCCGCCAAAGACCCAACCAAAACUCAUGUUGUUUGUGUCGUCUCAGCUAUAUUAUGAAAAUUGAUAAAACUUUCAACAACGGAUCUCUUGGCUCUG
rnacentral:misc_RNA from 1 species